UACGUAGGGUGCAAGCGUUAAUCGGAAUUACUGGGCGUAAAGCGUGCGCAGGCGGCUUUGCAAGACAGAUGUGAAAUCCCCGGGCUCAACCUGGGAACUGCAUUUGUGACUGCACGGCUGGAGUGCGGCAGAGGGGGAUGGAAUUCCGCGUGUAGCAGUGAAAUGCGUAGAUAUGCGGAGGAACACCGAUGGCGAAGGCAAUCCCCUGGGCCUGCACUGACGCUCAUGCACGAAAGCGUGGGGAGCGAACAGG
rnacentral:rRNA from 1 species